rnacentral:rRNA from 1 species
UACGUAGGGGGCAAGCGUUGUCCGGAUUUAUUGGGCGUAAAGCGCGUGUAGGCGGCCAGGUAGGUCGGCUGUGAAAACUCGAGGCUCAACCUCGAGACGUCGGCCGAAACCAUCUGGCUAGAGUCCGGAAGAGGAGAGUGGAAUUCCUGGUGUAGCGGUGAAAUGCGCAGAUAUCAGGAAGAACACCCGUGGCUAAGGCGGUUCUCUAGUACGGUACUGACGCUGAGGAGCGAAAGGCGUGGGGAGCGAACAGG